GAAUCGCGAUAGGAAGUGCGAAUUGCAGAAUUCAGUGAAUCAUCGUAACUUUGAACGCAAACGGCGCUUCGGGGUAACCCGGAGCAUGCCUCUUUGAGUGUCGGUCAAAUAUUUUGGUAUUUCCAAAAAUUGAGAGUCGAAAGUCUCUUCAAGUACAAGUGCCAUUGUUGGUCAAUGUAUAUAUUGUGAACAUUGAAUGAAGCUAAUAGUAACAUGAGAUUUUAUAAUUAUACAGGAUCAUUUGCCAUUUGAUUAAUUUCAUAAAUUCGACCAUCGACCUCAAAUGAGGUAAGAUUACCCGCUGAACUUAA
rnacentral:misc_RNA from 1 species